UCCGAUAUAGUGUAACGGUUAUCACGGCGCGCUCUCACCGCGUAGACCCGAGUUCGACUCUCGGUAUCGGAG
rnacentral:tRNA from 1 species